rnacentral:antisense_RNA from 1 species
CGCCGCCAUCUUUUCUCCCCUCAGCCCGCCAGCCCCGCGGCCGGGACCCGCCACCGAAUGACGGCCCCCGCGCGCGGCCAAUCCGCGAAGCCGCGCCUGCGCACCAGAGGCGGGCGGGCGGGAGCGGGCGGAGGGCGGGGAAUGAAUCUAAGCCUCCUGAGACAGUGCCUCCUGCUGCCUGAACGAGAACUGCACCUUUCUCUGCAAGGAUCACUGGAUUUACGUGAAAACUGAGCCCCAGACAGGUUAAGGGGCUUUCCUAAAGUUGCACAAAUGGCUUCUACUCACCAGAGGAUCUGCGUCCAGAGAACUUGGGGUGCUGUCUUUGACUGUCCUAUCCUCGGGAGGUGCAGUGGCUCACACCUGUAAUCCCAGCAUUUAGGGAGGCCAAGGCGGGCAGAUCACUUGAGGUCAGAAGUUCAAGACCAGCCUGGCCAACGUGAUGAAACCCUGUUUCUACU